rnacentral:lncRNA from 1 species
GCCAUUAAACCAAAUUUAAUGUAUCAGUGUGCUAAAUUAUUAUAAUUAUUGAGUAUUAAAUUAUUUAUAUUUAUUAUGUAGGAAGAGAUAGGUUACCCACCUCUUGAUUUUCUUUUCUUCUCAUCCUCUCACUGCUUAUCCAUUUUCUUUCAUUCAUUCAUAUCUUCUGAUAAAGAAGACAAACUGGGAAAAAAGGGAAAUCUAAAAUUAGUAAAAAGAGGCAAAAUAAAAACAAUAAUUAUGGAAAAAAGAAAUCGAUGAAACUGAAAAAUAGUCUUUAUUUGAGGUCUUUCAAUGCUCCAUGUCACAUGAUUCAUCAUAUAUUCCAUUUAAAAAGAUACCAAUUUGCACCAAAGUAAUUAGAUAAGGAUGAAAAGCAACUGUACAAAUUUUAUAUAAUAAAAAGAGUCACCUUUUCAUAAAAUAUAUGUAUCCAAAAGAUCAACUAUCCGUUUUUUUAUUAACUAUAAUAAACAUUAUAUUCUAUUUGUCCAAACUCCAUAAAAAUAUAUACUAAAAGAAUUUGAGAAGCAAAAUUUAAAAUUUAAUGAAAUUUUGGACCACUAUAUAUGUACUAGUUCGUGUAAGUAAGUCCCUAUGCAGCAGAGCUUUAAAGUAGUUAGCUACCACAAGUACAAAAAAUAAAGCUAUUAUUUUGAAACAUUUCAAUUAAAUUCACACGCGAUGAGGUUUAUCUAGAUAGCACGUGCGAAUUGCUAAAUCUAUGAAACGUCGGAAAUUAAAAACAAUAUCAUUCUAAAGCAUACCUCGAUAGUAAUUAUAUGAAUCUUCUUCAAAUUAGAGACAAAUAUAAUUAUUCAGAACACACCCUAAAAUAAUAUUUUUGAAGGAAGAAAAGAAAACUACGAAACGUUGAGAAUUUUAAAUCACUUCAUCAAAAUCGCAUAGGGCGAUGACAUCCAUCUAAAAUAUAUCUCAACAGUAAUUAUGAAUUUCAUCGAAUUAAAGACAACAUAAUUUAUUCAGAACACACUCUAAAACAAAGGAAGGUCGAAAUUUUGGAGGAAGAAAUAUGAAUUUGAAUAAAUAAUUUGGCAUACUCUACUAUAUUAAUGUUAAUCAUGUGAUAAAAAUAUGACUCGUACAAUAUUGAAGAGAAAUUUCAGAGAAGAAUAAUCCCAACUAAUAUACCAAUUAACACCACCUCUCUCUCUCUCUCUCAUCAAAAUUAAUUUCUACUAUAUUUCAUGAAUUAAUCUUAAUUCUUACACAUCCAAAAAAAAAACACUAAAUUUAUCCCAGAUCAAAUAUUUGUGCCACGUACCUUUACCAAAAAAAAAAAAAAAACCAAAAAAUUUGUGCCACGUCAUUUCAUCUCCAAACUCCUAUAAUCUAAAACUCCACCUUUCAAGCCCAGAAAAUCAUACCCAGAAUUAUAACUGCUGCUGCCAUUAAUAUUAAUAUUAUUAUG